rnacentral:rRNA from 1 species
AUUGAACGCUGGCGGCAUGCUUUACACAUGCAAGUCGAACGGUAACAGGUCUUCGGAUGCUGACGAGUGGCGAACGGGUGAGUAAUACAUCGGAACGUGCCCGAUCGUGGGGGAUAACGCAGCGAAAGCUGUGCUAAUACCGCAUACGAUCUACGGAUGAAAGCGGGGGAUCGCAAGACCUCGCGCGGACGGAGCGGCCGAUGGCAGAUUAGGUAGUUGGUGGGGUAAAGGCUCACCAAGCCUUCGAUCUGUAGCUGGUCUGAGAGGACGACCAGCCACACUGGGACUGAGACACGGCCCAGACUCCUACGGGAGGCAGCAGUGGGGAAUUUUGGACAAUGGGCGCAAGCCUGAUCCAGCCAUGCCGCGUGCAGGAUGAAGGCCUUCGGGUUGUAAACUGCUUUUGUACGGAACGAAAAGGUCUGCCUUAAUACGGCGGGCCCAUGACGGUACCGUAAGAAUAAGCACCGGCUAACUACGUG